AAAUCAAGCGCCAGAACUAAUAAUAUAUAUAUUAAUAGAAAUAGUUGACGAGGUCUAGAGUUUAUCGAAUUUUUCGGCGGAUGCUCUAGUGGAUUGCUUAGUCCAAAGCAUUAAACAAAAAAUAGUAGAAAUAUUAUAACAGAUAUU
rnacentral:ncRNA from 1 species